GGCGGUAGAAGAGACGUCGGUGUCGUCGUCGAGGCGAGCGCGCCGUGACGUCACGCGCGCCGAGCGAAUUCGCGAGUAAUUUAUAAAUAUUUCGCGCGGACCGCUCGAAUUACCGUUUCGAACACGCUCAUCGUCCGUCGAUACGGCGCGCGUUGCUCGCACUUCCAACCACCGUUUGUCACGGGCCGCGUCGAACGUGAGCGCCUCUGCAGAAAAAAAAAAAAAACAACUUAAUAACGAAACGGAAAUAUUUUUAUUUCGUUUCAAUUAUACGGGCUGGGCCCUUUUGGACGUGCAACGCCUAGACACGUGAGAUAACAGAAGUCAUUACAGAAAAUGAAUUGUUACAAACAUAAAACUAUAAUAAGUCAUAAUAAGGGGAAUUACACAUAAUUAGGCCAAUAAGUCAUUAACGGCAGAAUCAACAUUGACAGUUGGACAUUAGACGUCUUAGAGGCUCAUUAGCCGCGUAGUUGGCGGCGGCGUGCGGGACAUAGAAGAUGGCAGUGGAGCGAGAUGAACGAGUAGGAACUUUGAG